GAGUGGUGGGUUGCGAUAAAAUAGGGAAGACUGGAUAAGAAACGGUUAGAGGUAGUUACAUGCGGCAACCCAAUUCCCGCUAUCACCUCUAUUGCAGGUGUCUAAUAUAUGACUCUAUGCCUUACAACUGAUAUCUGUUUGGAUCUUAGGACGUCUAUUACAACUGCCAAUGUUGGAUGGCAGUCGAGGAUGGAUCGUUUUUGGCUAACUUAUGCCACAGUUUUGGUGUAAAAAUUAUAUAAAAAGCUAAUAAAAUUUUAGCUAAAAUUAAAACAUCAAUAUUUUAAUAUUUUAGAUUCAAGUAUAGUUUCUUUUUCUAAAUUUAUUCAGGUUGUGUGUGUGUGUGUGUUUUUUUAAUUUAAAGGUAACAUAAAAAUAUCAAUUAUCAGAGGUAUAUUAAUUUGUUCUGCUACCAAUUGACACAAAAUGGGUCAAGCAGUAUAGAUAUUACUAAAUUUGAAGGAAAAAUUGAUGCCUACAUCUAAAUAAAUAUUUACUUCUAAAUUCAAAUGCCCAAAAAAAAACAUCAAAGACAAAAAAAGUUGAAAGUGUAGUAGAGCCGUAAAGAUUGGAUAGUGAGGAAGAGGAGGAUUUGUUAGGUAGCUGCCCAACAUAUGUUUCAAGAUUUAUUAUUCAGCUAUAUCAGGAUACGAAUUGCCAACUUCAUAAAGGAAUAAGACAAUGUUUAAAUACGUUUUAUUUAAUUGCUAAACCAAAGGGAUUGCGUGGCCUAAUGGAUAAGGCGCUCGCCUCCGGAGCGGGAGAUUGUGGGUUCGAGUCCCAUCGCGAUCGUUUUUGCAUUUAUUUUACAAAUUUGAAAUUCAGUCCCUCAAUUAUUAUUAUUAUUAUUAUUAUUAUUAUUAUUGUGAAUAUACCUGUUAAAACAAGAAAAAUAUAUCUUAAAUCUCAACUCUCCUUUCAAACCAGUGAAGAACCCCAAAAACCAUUUGUCUAAAUAUGUGAAUUUAAUAAAACCAAUUUUCUAAAUAAAUUGUUUACAAAUAUAUGAAUUUAAACUAUUCUUUUACAUAUUAUUUUUUUGUAUGAGAUUAAUGUUAAGGGUAUAUAAUUUUUGUUUGAAGUUGAUAAGGGUUUGUAAUUGAUAAAAUUUGUACUGCUAAGUGCUAACUUGAUAUUUUCUUUAUUCAAUUAAAAAAAUAAAUCUAUGAUUAUUGUAAUUUCUAGAAGUAAUCACAAAUUGUCACACAAGUGAAGUCCUUUUUUCUUUCUAUUUUUUAAAAAAUAUGUAUUCAUUGACUUGCAAGUAAUCAAGAAAAUUACCAACUUCAAUUUAUACAGUUAUUCACAGAGGCAAGACUUUGGGAUUUUUUCCUUAAUAAAAAAAAUUACAUCAUCCAAUUUAAUGGAAAUCGUUUGAUGAUGUUAUGCAUUAGAUCUCGAUUUUUAAAUAAUAAAAAAUAGAAAGCUAAAUUCUUGAAAUUAAAAGUUGAAGGAUUAAAAUUUAAAUAUGCUAAAAGUACACAUUUAUGCAGCUACCUGAUACAAAGAUUUGUCGCAAAGAAAAGAAAAAUAGUAAAAACAUAGUGGUUACAAAGCAUGAGUCAAACUUCUAGCAAUUGAAAGUGCCUUAGCAGCAAAAUUAUUUUCACAGCACACAAGCAUUUCAACUACUUGUCCCAUGGUGGGUCUAUCAUCUUUGUCUUCUUGCACAAAUUUCAGGGCUAUGGUUACCAAAAUUAACAUCUCAUCAAUGUCACAUUUUCCGUCCAAUGCAGGGUCUAAUAUGUCUUUGCACCCUGUCCAUGUCUCAGCCUCCGUUGAUCUUUUCAUCUGCUCUUUCACCCAGUUCACCAAUGAUGUCUGGUCUUCUCCCCCUUCACCAUCUUCACUUGAGUGAGCUCCCAUUCCAGGGUUUCUUCCUGUUACCAACACCAACACAACAAUUCCGUAGCUGUAAACAUCCACCUUGGAGGUGAUGGGAUGAUUUGAAACCCACUCCGGUGCCAUGUAACCUCUGGUUCCUCGUAUCCUUGAGAAUCCUGAGUACUUAACAUCACCCCUGUUUAGAAGCCAUGAAAGGCCAAAAUCUGACACUCUGGGUUGGUAACUGGAGUCUAAGAGGAUGUUUUCAGGCUUUAUAUCGCAAUGGAGAACCCACUCUAGACAUUCUUCAUGCAAAUAAGCUAGUCCUUUCGCCGUUCCUAUAGCAAUUUCGAAUCUGUUUCUCCAAUCAAUUGAUUGAAAUGAUAAGCUUUUUGCUAACGAUCCGUGUUCCAUGUACUCGUAAAUCAAAAGCCGGUGCUUUCCUUCCAUACAGUAUCCCCACAUCUCUAUCACAUUCAUUUGAUGAAGCCUUCCUAUGGUGUCCACUUCAACUAAAAACUCAGCUUCCCCUUGGUGAUUGGCAUCGAUGAGUCGCUUGAUUGCGGCAGUUCGACCAUCGGACAACUUGCCUUGGAAUACAACUCCUCCUGCACCUCUCCCUAUCUCUUCUGUGAAACUUUUUGUAACCUUUUUCAGCUCUGCAUAAGUGAACCUUCUGAUGCUUGAUGUAGCUAAAAAGUAGCCUUGCACCGGACCCGAAUUCUGGCGAGUUCUUAUCAAGAGCCACAGCACAAAGAAAAAAAAGCUUAAUACCUCGACGAUUCCGAUAGCUCCUGCAGACCAAAGAGCAAGCUUCAAAGACUCACUUUCAUGGCUUUUUGGAUAUUCUCGACCCAGUUCCUCAAAUUUCGUGGAGCAGUCUAGCUUGUAAUCUUGAUCACUCGCCUUUUUGGAGGAGGAGAGGCUAACCUUUGGCAGUUUCAAGUACAUAUCGCCUUCGAAAUUGUCGGAACGACUCCAUUCAGUAACUGUGCCUUGGGAUAACAGUAUAUGCCAUCCGAACGGUGCACUUCAAAGUGUUUGAAUUGAAACCCUUUGCAGUCACACAUGCUCAAGCACAAGUCCUCACACAUCUUUAUGGUAUAAUUAGGGUACAAACCAUAAUCAUAACCAUAAAAUUCAACAUGGACUGAGUUUCAAAAAACCAAAUUCAUCAGCUUGGUUACAUGGAAGAUCAAAUUUUGGUUCACAUCCAAAGGUCCAAUCUGUAGGAUUCAUCAUCUUAUAUCCUGGAAUGCAAGAACAUUGUCUACCAAGAUUAGGAACAUAACUACAUACACUGUUUGGUCCACAACUUCCAUGAAUCCGGCAUGGUUGCGAGAAGGCUUGCCAUGAUACAACCCAAUUUUCUUCUCCUUUUCGACUAUACAAUCGAAGAUUUCCAUCAAAAUCAAGCUUCAAAAUUCUUUGAAUCAUCGAGCCGAAAUCGGUUGGGAAGAAAUUAAUACCGUCGGCCGAACUAAAAUCGCCAAACGAACUUAGAACCGCGAUUCCACUAGUGUUGUACAUGGAUCUUCCAGCUUCCCAACUCAAUAGCGAGGGGUCUGGCCAAUAAACACUUGAAACCUCUUUGGUAUACAAGGUUAAGUGCGUUGUUAGGAUCAAAAUAAAGAGUAACGAAACCUGAAGAAAAGUUGCUUUUGCUUCUAGACGACACAAGCUUUGUGUUUUUGUUGAGAGGCUGAAGAGGAAGAAGGGUAUCAGUAGGUGAAUCAAAGCUUUGCCAAAUCUUACUACCAUCCGAAUCAUGCAACACGAGAUUCCCACUAUCAUAUAGUUCUAAAUACAAAGACGACGUCAGGUUCGAAACAGCAUCAGCCUUCCAUACAAUUACAUGUCCGGUAUCUUUUAGAACAAGAUUACCGGAUCUCAAAAGGGUGAGCUUUGAGUGUUUGCCAUUGACAGGGAAGUCACGGUUCGCCAUCCAUACAAUGGUGCAAUUGUGAGUGGUGCAAGGAGGUUUGUUGAACCAUAUUGCGAAGCAAUAAGCAUUGUUUCCAACAGGGUGAAAACCGGCACUGAAAGUGCCAUCGGCUGAAGUCAAAACAUCAUUUGCUUGCUCUACUGAGAUCGAUGAACCCUCUUUUAAACCACGAGAAAGUGAAGAUACAGCAGAUGAACAGCUUAAAAGCAAAGAAAAGAUCAAGAUAUGUGGUGAGGCCAUGAAUGAAAUUUUUGGAAGAUUUGAGUUUUCAAGUUGAGCAGAAAUUAGGGUAAAAUGUGAAUAAAACUGUAUAUGGUGUAGAGUAAGUAAGGACUAAGUUCAACCGUUGCUUCCAUUAAUGCACGUUGCUUUCUUAAACCUAAACCCGACUUUUUUUGACAUUUCGUGGUAUUUAAGAUUUAGGGUCAAUCAACAUUUGAUUUUAAUAUAAUUUUUUUGUCACUAUACUACAAACUCGUCGAUUAUAUUAUAUAAUUUUUUUAUUAAUUUGUUAAUAUUUAUAGGGCAGUUGAUUCACUUACAUGGUGAUUUUAACAAUUCGUUGAAUUUAUUAAGAAUUUGUAAUGGUCAUACAUAAAAAAUUUUAAACCGAUCUGAGAUCUCUAUCAUAUUGAUUUAAAAUAUUGUCUAUAUUAAUAAAAAUUUAAUGGUUAAAAGUUUUUUUUACAUAGAUGAAUAGUUAGAAAUUUUAAUUUUAUACCAAACUUGAUAUGCAUGAUCUAUAUGAACAAAGCAUCAAAUAGGACAGAUAAAUUAUUAAAGUAUUGGUAUAAAAAGUUCCGAAAAGGUAUAAAUCACUUAAGUUUUAUAUAGGCGUAAAUGAACCAUCAUCGGUGUAAGUGAAUCCUCCCAUAUUGAUAAAGUUUAAGUACAAUCAACCCUUCCUAUAGUAGCCACCUGCUAUAACAACAUUUCACUAUAACAGUCAAGUUUCUAGAAGAAGCGAUUUUUGAUGUUUUAUUUUAACCCUGUAUAAUAGCUUUUCACUUAUAACAACAUACAUAUUAUGAAGUAUCCUCUUUAUUAAAUUAAUUUAAAUAUAAUAAAGCAUAAUUACAUAAAAGGUGUAAUACAAAAGUAUAAAAUAAUGUUAAGUUACAAAGACAUUUGUUAUGAAUAUUAUUUUAAUUGUUGAAGGAUAUUAAUAUUAAAAAUAUAAAACACUUCGUAUAUAAAUAAUUGAUAAAUAUUAAAGAUAGUAAUUGCUUUAAAAAUAACAUAAAAAUAAAAAAAUCUAUUACAAAUACUUAAUAUGUUUUAAGUAAACUCUUUAAAGCUAACUUAAUUGUAUUCUUCUCCAUGCCUUGCUCUUAAUUUCCAUCUAUUUGUUGAUCAGUGGCUUAAUUAGGUGGGAUUCACAUGUACCCGACCUCCUUAAAAUGACAUUUAAAUUUUAUGCAAAUUUCUUUUUCGAGCUCCACUCGAUGUGAAAGAUGUAAAUUUUCAAUUUAUACAUAUAUAGUUGAAAUAAUCUAUUUUCCGCAUUGACUUUUUUACUUUUAUUGUUGCCUAAACUACUCUCCAUUUUGCUAGAAUCGAACCAACAUCCAACGAAAAAACUUAAGUUUAUUAAUGUUAAUUAGUAUAAAAAAGAACAGUUCACGUAGUAGUAAUAAUAUUGAUGGACUAUUAACAGGAUAUAAGUUGCGGAUGGAUGGAUAGAAAUCAUGGGAAUAUGCUUAGUUUAAUUGGUAUGGAUGGUGUUGCUAAUGUAGGAGGAUGUGUGUUCGAGUGCGCUGAAAUACAUUAUCUUCUUAUUUAUGAGUUGGAGUGACAGUUUGAAGACACUGCAAUGGAUAUAAUAUGGUGUUAACAACUCUUAAAAAUUACAUGGUCAUUUUAAUCAAAAUAAAGAUUAAAUAUCAAAUGAGCAUAGUAGAGAAAUCAAAACUACAAUUUUACCAUUAUCUUAUAAUAACUAAAAAAGAGGAAAAAUCAUGUCAUUAGCUAGUCUAAAUAAUUAACAUUUAACAAUUUUAGUAGCUAAUGUGGAUUUUUUAAAAAGUCUUAUUUCAACUCAUCAUGCCAAUUUUUUUUUUGUAGAAUAAUAUUUUUUUUCAAAAAGUUCUCAUCAAAAAAUUUAUCAACAAUAUUAAGUAUUUGGACUAAACAUUAUAAAAAAAAAUAGAGACCAAGUUAUUGUAGAAAUUCAAGUAUAAAGAUUAAAUCUUAAUUUUAGGCAUAGUAGAGGGACCAAAAGUGAUAUUUGACCAAUUUUCUAUCAAAUGCAAAAAAAAUAGAAAGACUGAACACGUGUCAAGUAGAGGGACCAAAUGUGAUAUUUGACCAAUUUUAUAUAAACUGCAAAAAAAAAAAAAAUAUAUAUAUAUAUAUAUAUAUUGAACACAUGCCGAGUAAGAAAAUAAAGAUUAAAUCUUAAUUUUAGGCUUAGGGAUAAAAAGUGAUAUUUGACCAUUUUCUAUUAAAUGUAAAACAAUAGCAUGUGUCAAGUAAGGGAGCAAAAGUGAUAUUUAACCAAUUUUCAAUACAAUGAAAAAAAAAAGAAAAAAAGAAGAAGAAAAAUACCGAGUGACUCGUGAAACCCAUAGAGAAGCCCAUCUACUUGAAGAUGUACAUCACUUGUUGCAUUUACUUGUCUCUGUUACCCAGUUUGCAUAGCCAUUUCUCCCCCAAAGUCCAAUGCACAACCCACUUCUCUCUUAGGUUAUAACCCUACUGAUAACUCAAUAGGGUUCAUAUUAAUUUGUUGCCCCUCUAGCAUUUCUAAGGGGGUCUUCGUAGCACUACUUCAAUCUACCGAGUCAAUAUUUUUUCUCUUAUGAACAUUCUCGACUAAAUGGAUUGCCAACAGUACCUUCAUUUCGCCCUCAUGUCUUGUCUCGCCGGCACAACGAAUUGUUAUUGUCAAGUAUCCAAGAUGCAUAUACAAUCGGCAAAAGGAACCAAAAUAGCAUUAAUCUUGUCAAGGAAAUUUAAGCCAAGAACAAAGUCAUAAUCAUCCAAGUGAAUUACCUCAAAGUCUUCCCUGCCUUUCCAUUAACCAAUCUAUAGCUCAACUCCUUGUGUUACUUACAUCCACAGUUGAGACCUCUUUAGAAUUAAAAAUCUUGAUCUUCUUAGUUGAUUCACGAACCAAGACACCAAGUUUACACAUGACAUUUUCUGAUAUGAACAAGUUUGAAGCCCCCGUAUUAAUAAGAGCACUCUUCCUUUGAUCUGCGAUGUUGAUGUCUAUAUACAUCAACCUUUUCUACUUGUUGUCCCUAUUUGUUUUCGUAGAAUUGAGUAUCAUUGACCCAAGCUUCAGUACCUUACUCUCAAUAGGCUCCACUUAUUCUUUAUUGGUUGUGGAUAUCUUGGAUCGCUCUAGAUAGUUCUACAUCCUAUGCGGACCAUAACACAAGAAACACUCCAUUGGAUUUUUCUCAUUCUCUUGGCAUCGACAAAAUGCACAAUCAAACCAAGUCUCACCGAUUCUCUAUCUUGCUCAUCAUCCCUUCGAUAGCAGAUAACAUGGAUUAUUUCGAAUAGCCCUUCACAAUAUACGAACCUUCGCAAAGAAAACACCUCAUUGGCCCCUUUGGUUUUUUGUUGGGCUUCCACUUUCCAUUUGCUCGUUUCCCAUUACCACCAUUGUCGAUAUUAUUCUCGACUGGUCCUUCUUCAUCUCUACCACCAUUGCCCUCUUCUCUGGUCUCGAAAGACUCGAACUUGUUUCUCCUUGAAAUAAACUCAAAUAAGGACUCCACUACAGUCAUAACUUUGGAAAGUUCUUAGACCCCUCGAUGUUGCAAAUCUUGCUUCACCCAUGGCUUUAGCCCAUCUAUGAAGGAGAAAAAUGCCUCAUUCUCACCCAAAUCAGAAAUUUGUAGCAUGAGUUCACUAAACUCUCGCACAUACUCCCUCACUUUGCGCUGUUGUGUAAGCUGACGCAACUUAACCCGAGCCUCAUCCUUGGCAUAAUCUAGGUAAAAUUGUACCUUGAAUUCUCUGUGGAACUCCUCCCAAGUCCUAAUAGUGGUACCACCUCACCUCUCAUCUAUGGACCUAUGAUGACACCAUAACAAAGUAGCAUCAGUAAAAUACAUGGCAACAAUAUUUACCUUGGUAGCAUCGUCCAUGAUGUCUUUAGCAUAGAAGUAUUACUCCAUUCCCCAGAAAGAAGUUGUCUACAUCCUUUGUGAACAUCAUCCCAUUGAACUAUUUCAACUUCGAGACAUCUUCGUCCCAUUGAACUAUUUCAACUUUGAGAUAUCUACUUUAGGCAUAGGUGCCGCAACCAACACUCUAUUUCACAAAGCAACUUUGCAGAUAUUGAGCUCCCCCUUGAGCUCCUCAAUAUGUUCCUUCAAAGUCGACACUAUAGCAUCGGGAGCAUCCUCUUUUUCAAUCAGCUCACCUAUAGCGAUGUUGAGGACCCCUUGCAUCACAUCCAUAUUUUCACUUAGGGCCUCAACCAUUUGGUCCUUAAGCUGAUUGUCCCUCAAUUCCAACUCUCUGGUACGCCCAUCAACUUCCUUGAGGGUCUCCUUCACAUCACCUAUGGGACCCUCAAGUUUGGCCACCCUGCCAUCUAAAGCUGACAGCAUAUCCUUUGACCGACUUGCUUUCUUGGCCCUCCCACUAGUCUUCAUUGCCUCAACUUGCUCGUCUACUUCUUUUAACAUCUCAACUGACACCUUCAAAACCUGAACUCUGAUACCAAUUGUCAUGGGGCUAGAAUUUUAGUCUAGAAAAACAUGUGACCUUAGGCGGUUACUUUGCUUCAAAUCUGCCUAAGUCAACCUAAAACUCAGAGUGUGAAUUCUUCCAGAAAUACUUUUAGGCACUGAGAAAUAUAAUGAAAGCAAUUUGAAAUGAAAAGAGCAACGAGAAAACUGAAAAGCCAUAGGAAAGUGAUGCACACAAGAUAUUUGAGUAAAUGCUCUCAAUAUAUUCUUUAACUUAGAAAAAUUAGAAAAAUGAAGUACAAUAGGAUGAUACAAAUGAAGGGAGAGGCCUCUAUUUUUAGUUGAGCUCCCCCAAAACUAACGUUAAGUUACAUCGACGGUCAAAAUUAGAGUUCAUCUAUAAUUGAGAGUCUUGAGGGAAUUAAAUUCUAUACAAUCUUAUCCUUUUAGGAUUUACACUAUUUACCCUGGGAACUCUAGUUUUACUAGAAUGUUUCACUAAGCCACCAAGAUUUCAAGUAUAUGGGUUUCUCCAUGGGUUUCACAGGUCAGACCAGUUCAAGUGGGUCAAAUGAACUCCAUUUAAUAAGUCUAAAAACUACAUUGACCAUGCACUAAAUAUUUUCCCAUACGAGUGUAAUAUAUGUAUGGUGUAAUUACCUAUAGAACUCUUUAAAAAUAAAAUAAAUUAUUACCAUCAAAACAAAACAAAGCCAAGCCAUAGUAAUUGAUAAAAGCUUUCACUAUGAAAUUGAUCCCCAUAAACUAACCUCAAUUUUAGCAGCAAUCCCAAUCUUGAGACGUCUCAUGCAAGUGAAAAUUUCAAUUUAUUCCAAAAGAAUCAAAUUGUAUGAAAAAUUUAAAAACAAAAACUACAAAUAUUUACCCUUUAAUUGAUGAAAGAUAGAAACAAAAAUUGAAAAAGAGAAGCGAAAAGCAAAAUAAAAGUUUUAGAUGAAACUGGGAAGUCAAAGGGGAAAAGUUUUAAUAAAAGGUGUUAAUGUAAGAUAAUUAGUUUUACAUAAAAACAUAUAGUUAAUAAAUCAAGCAAACAAUUCAUUACAAAUAAAUAAAGCAUAUAUAACUAUUUUCUUUCUUUGAAAAUAACAAAACUUUGAGUCGAUUGGCAUUCUUCCAAAAGCAUUUUUUUUUUCAAUUUUAGCCAAAACAAUGAGUAGAAAAAAAGAACUUGGAAAGUCGUGCAGCUGACAAUAGGAUCUUUAAAAACCUUCUCAGAAAUUUUUGAUAAUUUUCACAUAAAUUGAGUAACUAAUUUAUAGUGAGUGUAGUUCACCCAAUCUUCCAGCUAACAUUGAUAGAAAAGCAGUGAAUUCAAUCAUCUUCAACCUCAAAUUCUCAAUCCAAGAGGGAUAUAAUAGAACAAGCACUACUGCAAUUUUAUCAUUAACAAUCAGGAUAACAAAAAAGACAUCCAAUCCAAAUGCAUCUCUGAUGGAUGAUGAGGAGAAACCAAUUUAUUUAUAACAAGUCCACCCUGUCAGCCUCUACAACCUCAGCUCUACUAAAAUUCACUCUUGGAUAAAAAUACUAGCCACCAUUACAGCAGUGAACAAUGUUCAGAAAAAGCAAAGAGGUGCAAAAUUAAAAGUUUAAGCGUCAUUAAGAGCAAGGACCCCAGGAAGUUGUUUGCCCUCAAGAAGCUCCAAGCUGGCACCACCACCAGUAGAGAUGUGGCUCAUCUUGUCAGCAAGCCCAGCUUUUUCCACAGCUGCAACAGAGUCACCUCCUCCAAUAAUUGUUGUCACUCCCUUCCCACUGAGUUCCGCAAGCUUCUUGGCAACCGCCUGCAUCGUAACAAGUAUUAAAAUCCAUUUUUAAGUAUGACCAAAUUUAAAGACCUGAUACCACAUCAUGACCACCUAAUUCAUGAAAGCAGUAAAUCACACACUUCACCGUACCUCAGUGCCGGCAGCAAACUUCUCAAACUCAAACACACCCAUUGGUCCAUUCCAGAUAAUGGUCUGGGUAGUGUCCAAAGACUCACUAAAGGUUUUGAUGGAGUCAGGUCCAAUAUCCAAGCCCAUCCAACCAUCUGGGAUCCCUGAUGCUGGCACCACCUGCAAAAACAUUACAAAAUUCAAACACCAUCAAAACAAAAUCCGCUGAAGCAGCAAUUCUCCAUAUCCACUUGGAAAUUAGGUACAUAUGUACACUCUGCUUCCGUACAGGAUAUUGCUGUAAGAUGUAUUGCGAUUUAGUACACUCAGCACACUCAUAGGAUAAGCAUAAUCAGCACAUACCUUGCUGUUAGCAUCAGCAGCAAACUUGUCAGCAACAACCACAUCAGUGGGGAGCAAGAGAGAGACUCCUUUUGCCUUGGCCUUCUCAAGGAGUGAUGUUGCUAGAUCAAGUUUGUCUUCUUCCACAAGUGAAGAUCCAACUGCAUAUCCUUGGGCCUUGUAGAAGGUAAACAUCAUUCCUCCACCAAGUAUGAGAAUAUCAACCUUGGCCAAGAGUGAUUCAAUCACUCCAAUCUUGGUUGAUACCUUAGAACCACCGACAAUUGCAGCAAAUGGCUUUUUGGGAUUUGCCACAGCUCCAACAAGAUAAUCGAGUUCCUAAAAAGAAAAAAGAACUUUGCAUGUCAAAGAAACCCAACAGAGUUCUCCACUAUUACAUGUUAUCUAAAUGCUUGAAAAAACGAGCAGACUGGUUAAGUGGUUUCUAUCAGACCAAUCCGCUGGAUCAUUAGACGCUUCAUUUUCAAACUUAGGAUAUUCAUAAUACCUUCUGCAUAAGAAAACCAGCAACAGAAGGCUUUAAGUACUUAGCCACUCCCUCUGUGGAAGCAUGGGCUCUGUGCGCAGUGCCAAAUGCAUCAUUAACAUAGAGAUCAGCGAGAGAAGCUAGCUUCUUUGCGAAUUCAGGAUCAUUCUUCUCUUCCUCCUUGUAGAACCUCACAUUCUCAAGCAGCAAUACACCGCCAUCUGGUAAUGCAGCCACCAUUUUCUCAACUUCUUCACCAAUACAAUCAUUCGCCAUUUUAACCUCGACUUCAAGGAGUUCAGAUAACCUUGGCACAAGAGGCUUCAAACUGUACUUGGGAGUGACACCCUUUGGGCGUCCCUGAAAAAGCAAUUUGAAAUAUAUCACGAAAUCUUCAACUAGAGAAAAUGUCGACAUAUAAAAGGAAUUUUCAUACGAUUUGCAUGUAUCCUAUUGCUAAAACUAAAACGAUUCAAAAUAAUCAUUAUUCUUUUAUAUUGAAAAACACAAACCUUACUCAUCCCGUGCCCCAGAUAUUCUUUAAGAGCUUAGACUAUCAUUUAAUGGAACAAGGAGAAGAAUCAUCCUACCUUAACAUUCGCCAAAGCAAUUAUAUAGUUUUAGAUGAACUAUUGCUGCCAAAAUUGUGCAAAUAAUAAACCAAGCUCACAAUCAGAACCAAGAGAAAACAAAGGCGAACCAAUUUACGAGUUAAAAACAGAUAGCAACUAUGAAAAUAUCAGCCACAGAACAUGCUUGUUAGAUAUAUCAAAAAUCAAUAAAUACUAUCUCCGUGCGGUGAUUUUAGAAUUUAAAAGAAAAUGAGAUCGAACAUAAAAGAUAUAAACAAAAAACUGAGAUGAUGCUGCCUCCAUCCCAUUCAGACAGAUCUAGCUCAGUCAAUCAAAAAUAAAUCUCAAAACCACAAAUACCCAUAAUAAAAAAACAGUAAUCAGAUCUUAAUGAACACCAGAUCAAAACAUGCAGAUAAAUCACAAGGCAAACAGAAACCCAAAAACCCAGUAUGGGAUGAAAAGAAAAUUUUUAUUAAAGAAAUCAUAUCUAAAGAAAAGGAAUAAAAGAAAGGUACCAAAUGACUAGAGAGGAUGACUUUAGAGCCAUGACCCAUCAAAUACUUGAUGGUGGGAACAGCGGCACGGAUCCUUGUGUCAUCAGUUAUGUUGAAGUUAUCAUCCAAUGGAACGUUCAGAUCGACUCUAACAAACACUUUCUUUCCCUUCAAAUCAGCUUCCUUCAAGUCCCCAACGCUCUUCUUUGUAGCCAUGGUAGUAGCACUUCUUCAACAACAACCAAACGUAUAAACAACGCUACACCCGAAAAAAGGAUUAGAGAACCGAUCUGCAAAAUCAAUAAGAAAAUGGGAGUAUUCAAAGUGAGAGUACUUACGAAGAUGAGAGAGGCGGAUAUAUCUAGACAGUCAAAAGAAACGAAGGAUCGAGAAGGUUUUAAUACAAGCGAAGCGCACGCAGGUUUUUUUCCUGGGUAAACUACACCCAUGGUCAUUCUAAAGUAGUCUCUCUACUAUUUUGGUCACUCCAAUUUUUUUUCAAUUUAGUCACUUUAAAUAAGAUAAUUAUGUAAAUUAGUCACUAUCAUUAAAAUUUCUAUUAGCCUUUAACGGAUUGCUGACAUGGCAUAUUAACUUAUAGAGUGACUAACAUGUGGCGCUUUUUUUACAUUUGACUAAAGCUUAGAGACCUCUUUAUAAAGUUUAGGAGGAAAAGGUUUUGGACUAAUUAUAGGGAGGACCCUAGACUUUAGUCAAAAGUUAAAAAAAUGCCACAUGCCACUCAAUAUGCUAAUGUGCCAUAUUAGUUAUCCGUUAAAAGAAAACAAAAAUUUUAAUGGCAGUAAUUAAUUUGCACAAUUAUCUUAUUUAGACUGACUAAAUUGAGAAAAAAAUUGAAGUGAUUAAAAUAGGUUAAACCUUAUUUUAGAGUGACCAUGGGAGUAGUUUAACUUUUUUUUUAUUUUUUUAUUUUAGCCCCAUGAUUCAAGUGAAGCGGCACAUAGGUUUUCCUUUUCUAUUUUAAGCUUAAGUUCAGGCUCCAAACUUUUUCAAAUAAUCAAUUUAGUCCCUAUAAAAUUGCGCAUUUAUGUAAUUUUGUAUCAAUUAAGGGUGCAUUUAUUCCACAGAAAAUGACUUACAAUUUUUUUUUUCAUUUUCCUAUGUAAAUUUCAUGAAAAAUAGCUAAAUCAAUGGAAAAUGAUUUAUGGAUUAGUGGGAAAUAAGUCAUUUUUCAUGUAAAUUGACUUACUCUUUAAAAAAAAUAUAAAUCAUUUCUUCCGAAAGAGUUUAUUUAUGAGUAAUUUUAUUUUUAUAUAAAGUUUAACUUCAAUAAAGCUUAUUAUCAUAUUAAUAAUAUUUUUUAUUUAAUUUUUAAAUUAUUAAAAAUAAAUUUUAUAACGUACAAUAUUAUUAAAUAUAUUUAAUAAUAUAAUAAAUUAUUAAUAUAUUUAAUAUAAUUUAUUAUUUUAAUAAUUUUUUUGAUAUUAUAAUUUUUUAAUAAUAAAUUUAACAAUAAUAAUUUUAAAUUUAAACAAUAUUCUUAAUAUAUUAUUAAAAAAUAUUUAUGUCAAUAUUUUUGUAACACCCCAAUACAUGACUCGAUUGCCAAGUCCGAGAUUCAAGGCGUCACAUUUGUUGCCAGAGCAACUACGAUCAAUUACAUUCAAUUUAUACUAUUAAAUGAUCAAUUUUCAACUCAAUCAUGCAUACAAUACAAUAUACAACAGUUUCUGGGUCUUAUACAAGCUUACGAAAGCUCUAGAACUAACCUGAGGUCGAAAUAUAACCAAAUUGUAAGAACUUCAAAUUAUUGGGUUGACACCGCGAUGUCAAGGGGUUAUUCGUCGUGACACAACAUACUGAGUAGGUAUCAUCGCAGUGACCCAAGCCCAACGUCACGUCGUGGCGUGGCAACCUAGUCUCGUCGCAACGAUAGACACUCAACGUUGCGACGUGACAUACUAACUUCAAAUGGUCGAGUUUUGGUAGCUAUUUACAUUCACGUAUAAAACUUCAAAUUCAUUUGCAAUACAAUUUAAAAAUUCAAAACGCAUAUCCAAUGAAUUUUAUCAUAGUUAAUAUACCAUUCAUACAUAUAGAGUUCAAAAAUACAAGUUGAUAUAUCACAUUUAUACCAUUCUUAGCAUUUACCAAAUCCACCUAUUCAUUCAUAUGUAUAGAUAACAAAAAUGGCUAUAAUUGAGCUUCUUUCAUUAUAUACCAAUUCUUGCCAUAAGGAUUCAAGCUAUUAAUCAUGUCAAGUUACCAUUUAAAAAUUAAAUGUUUUCAAUUUAAACCAAAACUGACUCUAUCUAGGUACAUGCCAUAUAACGAACCAAAAAGAGACUUUACAAACAUUGAUGAGUCAGGAAUCUCAGUUUGAAUGUUGGAUUCAAUGCUCGGGACCUCGAGAUGUACCUAAACUUGUGCACAGGAAAACAAACCGUACGCUGAAUGAUAAAGCUCAGUGGUAUGUUCAUGAUUCAAGUCAAAAUAAUAUGAGUUUCAAUCAAUUGUAUACAUUCAACUUCAUAUCCUAAUAACAAUCAAUUCAUAUACAAUUCAUGCUCAUUCUCAAUCACAUAUCAACAUAUAUCUAUAUAUGCCACAAUUUGCACAAAUUAUAUUAAAUAAUAUUUGCACUUCUACUCAAUUCUCAAUAUUUAUUUCAUUUUUUAUCUUACCAUAUUGGCCCUCAGGCUUGUUAAUCGAUCCGCAUGGUCUUUCACAUGCUAUCAAUCAAUAUUGUUUAUAAAUAUCUGUAAUUUAACUUUAUAACAUUUAAUCGUUUUCCAAAUAUUAAUCAACCAAAUUCACCAUUUAUAUUUCUUAUUAACACAACUCGGACUUGUACAGAUACAUGUAUCCCAACCAACACACCAAUUUUGCACUCAGUGCCUCAUCGGAAUGUCCGAAGUAUAUAAAUUGCAUCCAACACUCAUCUGUAUAACUGAAAUAAAAAUUGCAUCCAGCGCUAAUCAGUAUAACCGAAAUAAAACUUGUGCCCUACAUUCAUCGAAACGUUUGAAGGAAAAUGUGACUAGCACUCAUCGACAUAUAGCCAAAGUAACUCGUACUCAAUCUAUCCUAUGGCAUGCCAACUCUAUUUGACUCUGCUCGAACAGUUAAUAGAGUAACCAAUUAUCCAAUUUAUCAUAUAACCCAAUUUACAUUUUAUCACUUCAUUACAUAACAUAAUAUGAUUCAACCUAAUUCAAAGCCAAUUUCAUAUUUUCAUUAAGUUACACUAUUUUCAAUUCUGUUCAAUUUAGUCCUCUAUUUUGAUAACCAAUCUCAAUAAUAACAACUCAAUUAAAAUAAUCAUUUUCAAAUCACUUCAAUAUCAUACUAUGCAAAAAAAUAUAAAUAUGCAACAAUUAUAAUGAUUCGAAUCAUAGAAAUACAAACCGAAGACUCGAGUUAUUCGUCGUCGACUCUCGCCUUUCCUUUCCCUUUCGAUAACCUUGUGUUGUCUUUAGCUACGAAUAAUAAUCCAACAAUAAACAACAUCUCAUUCCAGAUCAAUUCACAUUCAAUUACAAAGUUACACAUAUUUUAUAAUUUAUUCAAUUUAGUCCCAAAAUCCUAGACGAGCAUAACUUUCGAUCUAAACCUUCGGAUUAAAAUCUGGUUUCACAUAUAUUCAUUAGGGACCUUUUAUUUUCUAUUCCUACCAAAAUUUAGUAACAAUUUUACAUUUUAUUCAAGUUGGUCCUAAAUGUAUGAAACUAAAAUAUAAGCUUUACAAUUUAGUCCUUUUGUUAAACUAAGCUUAAUUUCUAUCAAUUUCACACCUAGAUAUUCAAGAAAUUAACAAUGGAAAUUUUCUAUAACUUUAAUAGUUUCACAAAUUGGUACAUGGACUAGCUAAAUCAAGCUCUCAUGAACUCAAAUCUACAAAAAUUACAAGAAAAUGACCUAAAUGAGCUUAACAAAUUAUGGUCAAAUUUUUCAAGCUUGGAAGAUUUUCUUAAGCUCAACAAUGGUGGUCAGUUUAGGUGAAGAAGAAAGGUGAUAUUCUUUUCUAACUAAGAUUUAAUUUAGCUUAACUAAUUGCAUUUAACUAUUACUAAUCAUGCUUACUAACUUAACAUCACCAUCCACUAAGUCUUAUUUGAACAUGAUUUAAUUGCUAUUUUGGACCUUUAGUGAAUUGAAAUUUAAGUCCCCAAGCCAUUUACUAAUUAAAAAUCCAUAGCGAUUGGACUUUUACAAUUUAGUCCAUGGGCCUUAAUUAAGCAUAAUUUAUGCUAAAUCACUUAGCCAAUUUUCAAGUCAACAAUAUAUGAACUCUGUAAACAAUCCUAUUUAAUAUUAGGCUUGAUCCAAAACCAUAUUUUUUGAUACCACUGGAAAUCGGGUCAUUACAAUUUUAAUAAUAAAUAUAUAUUAUUAGGGUUUUGUAACCCGAAUCCCAUUUAAUCCGGCCUGAAAAGUUUGAGGUGCAACUCACUUGUUAAAUAAAUAAAAUAGAGAGGCAAAAUUGGGGAUUUAUGGGGGCGAAGGUCCGAGCCUUGUCGCACAAGUUGAAUUCGUAUAGGACUGUACUUCUUCUAUUAGACAUUGAUUGAAAAAAAAAGAUUGUUUAACCCUUAAAAACUGUGCAUAGUCGAAAACCUCUUGUAUUCUUGUUUUUCAACAUUAGUGAAUUUCUCCUCCUCUGCCCAUAGUUUUUCUCGAUAAGGUUUUCCACAUAAAAUCUGCGUGUUCUUAUUUUUCUUUCUUAUUGCUUUGUGAUCAUUCCUACUGUCAUUAUCGACGUAUAGUAUAACAUAUAUUGCAAUUUAUAAAUAAUUACACUUCCAAAGAAACUCCCAACCCCUAAGACAAAGAGUUACAUGAACAACAUCUACAUCUAAUUGAUUAAUUGACCUGUAAUGGAUCUUCCAUAGGAGCUGAGCAAGGCAAGAGCUAGAAGUCUCAUUGGAAAUGAAAGGAAUGAAUCAUUGGUUCAUUUCAACACAUACCUCAUGUAAUAAGUGUAUAGGUUGAAUUACGGGCACUUAGAGAUAUACUUCAACUCGCAAAUAGCAUUAAUGCUCAUAAGCUAGAAAAUGAACUUAAUAUCAUUGUUAUCAAAUUGAUUCACAAUAACGACAUCCCUAACAAAAACAAAAACAAAAGUUCUUGUUUGUGAUUGCAAGACACUUUUAAUUGAUCUUAAUUAAAAAGUAAUCAAUCACAAGUCAAAAAGAGGAAAAUAAAUAAAUAAAAUUUUGGUUUAGGUUCUUAGAAAUUUUUGAUAUUUUAUUAGGAAUUUUAGUAUUGAGAUAACAAACCAAAAUUUUAUUACAUACUAACAAAUUUUGUUAAACAUAUAAUAAAAAAAAACAUUUUUUCAUAUGGUGAUUUCUUAUUCAUACGAAUAAAUUUAAAAUAUAGAAACUAAAAUUAAUUUGAGAAUAACCCAAAAUUUUCAACUAAUUCUUUUUUAUUUUAUUAAAAAUUUUGAUAUGUUAAAACAUUGUAGGCUAAGUUUUAUAAAAUGGCUAGAAAUUUUAUUAAAAGCUUAUGGCGAACUUACGGCAUCAUAACCCCGCUGUAUUUGGGGCAGAUGCUAUGAGCAGGACCAUGUAUGGAUGCUUCACGAAUCACUUUCCGACCAAAAAAAAGACUGAUUCUCGAUGAUAGCGAUUGAAUGUGGGAUAUUCUAAUUCCAAAAAUAGAUUCCGUUUUGAGUCAACUCAAUUAUAAACGGACUUGCAUUUACAUUAAUGCAUGUAUUUUUUUCUUUUUCUUUUCCUCUUAAAAAUGGGUUUCAAAUCUUAUCAUCUGAUUAUUAAAAUUUAUAAUUCAUGUAUUUGCGUCACAUUCUUAUAUUUUUAUAUAUUAUGAUUAUGAUUAUGAUUAAAAAUUUUAUGUUAUAUAAAUUGCAUAUGAUAGAGAAAACGGACAAAGAACAAUAUAGAAGUGCCUUACCCACGUCGAUUACAUAGAUAAGUUUUUCCAGCUUUAUAAUAACAUGUUUUAGAUUCCUCUUGUAACGGAGUGAAUGGGUCAUGACCAUAGCUUCGGACCCAGGAAAGUCCCCGGGCCGCUAUCUGCAGAGAUGCAGGCUCGGAAAUGAGUAUUAAUCUUUGAGUGGAGGUGGUCUGUCGCAAAACAGGGCUGAGACAAGUGUGGAGCCGAUGACCUCUUCGCCAAAGCAAGUUAGCCGAAUCUCACAGUUAUUCACUUGGUUCUUCACAGGACUAACCGAACGGGGCUUAUGAUCUCGUAGUUUACCCUUUUUGGUUGUUUUUUUAACCAGAUGAUAGAAACAAUUCAUCCCAGCUUUAAUCCCUAUCCUGUGUUUAUGUUUUUGGAUUUUCUAAAAAGCUAGGUAAAGUAAACCUCGGAAACUCUCGAUUUUCCAAAUCCCAGACUUGUUAUUUUAUUUGCUAUGAAAAUUAACUCUACACUCUCUCAACAUUAGGCAAAAGCAUUGAUAGCCAUUUUGGCUAAAUAUGGUCAGACAUUGUAGGGUACAAAUUAAAUGAAAAUGAGGGUAUAUAUUGAUAUCUUUAACACAAAAUAAGAGUUUUAAGCAAUGUUGAAAUUUGAACUUGGGCGCUUUGAGAAGACAAAGAGAAUGCCAAUUAGUUCUAAAAAGUUUACUUGGGUGUUAGGUGUUAUAAGUUGAACCCACAUUAAUUGGCUUGCCAAGUCUUUUCAUAAAAUAAUAAUGCAAAAAUCUUUAUAUUUGAAUAAUACCCACAACUUGAAAUGAAUGGAUGCUUUGGUGGAAAAUGAUAUAUGGCUACAAUGAUGGCCACAAACACACAUUUCAGGGGUGGGCUUCCCAUGAUCUCUGCAGGACAUAUUACUUGACCAGAACAAAAAGUUGAUGCGUACAAGUAGUAAAGGCCUCUCAUUUUUAUGUGGCUUUCGUUAUUGUUGACAGAUUUCUGAUCAGAUUUUGGCCUUUCUAUCUCUUUCUACAGUUGAAAUAAUAACUGCCAUCUCAGGAACGUUAAGAGUCAAUUUGCACUUGAUGAUAUCAAACUUACGCAAGGUCUUUUAUGUUGCCUUUUGCUCUUCGAUUUCACUACUUUUAUUUGGAGUUCUUUUAUCUUCUAAUUGUAAAAAAAAAAAAAAAAAAAAACUAGUGCCAUGGAACCAAAGUACUGCUAAGCUUAAACCUGAUAAAGGCAUAGCAAAAUCUCUUGAUGGAAUAAUUUCUACACCCACAGGAGACCAGUUAAGUUAAACCACUGUUCAUUUGUAUUCACAUGCUUAGAGCAAUUUUUCAUGCUUACAAUAGUAAAUAUCUGGUUCUGGUAACAAUUUGAGCAUAAAUCUCUACUUGAUCGAAAGUUUGGGGUUAAUUUACACCAACAGCUCAAAAUAGAAGUAAUAAGAAGGUAUCAUAUCCCUGUCUUCUUCAAGUUUCACAGUUUGGCACUACAAUGAUAUCAAAUUCAAAUUGUGAGUUUGCAAGAGUUUGUAAGAUAGAAUUCUCAUUAGCUUCAUAGAGUUCAACAAGCAGAAGCACGAAUCAUGCUUUUAUGUGGUUUUGACUUUGUAAUACAAAGAAUAUAAAAUGCAAUGUAAAGGGAAGAAAAAAAGGGGCAUAUUACAAUACUUGCAGAAGAGAACCAUACAGGACGGCUACGAGAAAUAUCAUAAUGCAAGAAAAGGUUUGGAUAAAAAUAAAGCAAUUUAUUUAAGCAACACUCUUCUGACAACCAUUUAGGAAGGAGCAAGAAAGGAAGAGGCAGAAAAGGGCUCUACUAGUGAUUUAAUGUUGUACAUUUACAAAAAGAUCUCUUUCAUCAUAAAGCAUUUCAUUUGUGAAUAAAUCACUAAACAGUGAGGAUGUGGAAAAUUUGAUUCGAUCUUACACAGCAACCGGAACAGCCUCAUCCAGGGCAAUCACACCUGGAAGCUCCUUCCCUUCCAACAAUUCUAAACUGGCACCACCACCAGUUGAUAUGUGGCUCAUGACAUCAGCAACUCCGACCUUUUCUACAGCAGCAACAGAGUCUCCACCUCCAAUGAUUGUUGUCACUCCCUUGCCACUAAGUUCAGCUAGCUUCUUUGCAAUAGCCUACAAGCAGAAAGCAAUCUUAAUUCUCACUCACUUACACAACAAUUAAAAAUAAAAGCAGUCAUCUCAAAACCUUAUAAGCAUACAUCCUAACUUAUUAUUAGUUAAAGGUAGGCAACUUAAAAGCAUACAUCCUAACUUAUUAUUUCUAUAAUUUUAAUAAUUUAUAGAAGUAAUUGGAGGAAGGCUUGCUUCAGCUCGUUUGGACUGGAAAGCAAGUGGUUAUGAACUUAAAAGUAUAUCCAACUAGUAGAAAAGGGAUACCUUUAACUCUACGUAUGCAGGAAUAUCAUCAAGAGCUAAAGUGCACAGUUAAGAAAUUCAAGCAUACCUCAGUUCCAACUGCAAAUUUGUCGAAUUCAAACACUCCCAUUGGUCCAUUCCAGAUGAUGGUUUGGGUAGUAUCCAAAGCUUCAUUGAAUGUCUUAACAGAAUCAGGUCCAAUAUCCAAUCCCAUCCAGCCAUCAGGGAUAGCAGAUGCUGGCACAAUCUGCAAGUAGCAAAAUUUGUUUUUAUUCUUGCUAAGACAAGAGAAUAAAGGUUAACAAGAACAGUUUAUUUCCACUUAUAGCUCCGGUCACUGUGAUUACUAGCGAUUUCUUUUACAUAGAUUGCUCUGCAAACUUCAAGGGGGGUAGAAAGUAGAAACAAACCUUGCUGUUUGCGUCAGGGGCAAACUUGUCAGCGAUAACCACAUCAGUGGGUAACAAAAGAGACACUCCUUUUGCCUUGGCCUUUGCAAGAAGUGAUGUUGCAAGUUCAAGCUUAUCCUCCUCUACCAGGGAUGAACCGACUGAUAGGCCUUGUGCCUUGUAAAAUGUGAAAAUCAUACCACCACCAAGAAGGAGAAUGUCACAUUUCUCAAGGAGUGAUUCAAUGACUCCAAUCUUGGAAGAGACCUUUGAACCACCCACAAUGGCAGCAAAAGGCCUUUUGGGGAUUGAAACAGCACCAACAAGGUAGUCUAGUUCCUGUAACAAGAUAGGAAUACCAAAUGAAUAUAAGGGUAACCUAAAACGUUAAAAUGUAACAACAAUAAUAAUACAUAAACAAAAAAAAAGAAGCCAUAGUAGUUUAAAUGUAAUGUCAGAGUUAAACAAUGAUAACUUCACUUUAAAACAUGUCUAUUUGAACACAGAUAUUGAAAACAAACCAAGUUUCUUCAAGAACUUAGAAUGCCAUAUCCUACCUUCUGUAAAAGGAAACCAGCAACUGAUGGCUUCAAGAAUUUUGUAACGCCCUCUGUUGAAGCAUGUGCUCGAUGUGCAGUCCCAAAUGCAUCAUUGACAAAGAGAUCAGCUAAGGAAGCAAGCUUCUUUGCAAAUUCAGGUUCAUUCUUUUCCUCUUCCUUGUAAAAUCUAACAUUUUCAAGAAGAAGAACGCCACCUUCAGGAAGUGCAGCAACUAACUUUUCUACUUCUGGACCAAUGCAAUCAUCAGCCUUGACAACCUGCUUAGUUAAUGAGUGUUACUGUCAUACAAUGGAUGAACAUCUUAUAACUGGAAAAUUUUCAGCUUUCGUUAAUUACCUGAAUGCCAAGUAAUUCAGAAAGCCUGGGUACAAGAGGAGCCAAGCUGAAUUUUGGAGUAACACCCUUUGGCCGCCCCUGAAAAUUCAAUGAACCAUUGCUUCAAUUCUUACAGCUCAAGCCCAAAUGGUUAAGAACCCACUAUUCUAUGUAGAAGGCUUAAAUGGCUACGUAUUUAUCUGAAAAAUUAAAAUACAUCCAUUUACAGUAUUAUGGUAUACACACAUUAUCAAACACAAUUUAUCUGCUCAUCGACAUAUGUACUUGGGACCAUUGAACUUGUAUUUGGUUAAAUCAAACCUAGAAACUUUUAUUUCCAUCAAACUACAUUAUUGAGCUUUGACAAUUGAUUCAAUAAGUCAAUUAACCAUUAAAGGCCAUAAAUCUCAAGAUACAAGAACUAAGUAGAAUCAAGAGAAAUGAACUCACCAAGUGGCUAGAGAGAAUGACUUUAGCUCCAUUCUGAAUCAAAUGCUUGAUGGUGGGAAUAGCAGCACGAAUCCUGGUGUCAUCAGUGAUGUUCUGGCUAUCAUCCAAUGGAACAUUCAAGUCAGCCCUCACAAACACUUUCUUCCCUUUCAAAUCAGCGGCAGUCAAGUCCCCAACACUCUUCUUGGCCAUUGAAACAACCCCUCUUGACCCUUUUCCCUUGAAAGAUCGAACUUUGGAGGAGACAUGGAGGGAAAGCAGAGAGUCCCCAGAAGCAGCGGAGGAGAAGCCUAGGCUGUGGAUGAGAGGAGAGGACUUGAGGUGGCGGCGCGUGGAAGGAAGGCGGAUGAGGGAUGCAGAAGAGCGGGAGGCGGAGGAAGAGGUGGUGGAGGCGGUGGUUUUGAGGAGGGAAAGAGUGGUGGAAGUGGUGGCAGAAGCCAUUUGGAGGCGAAGAGAGAAAGAGAGUGGAGAGGCUGAGUUGUAAGUUGUGAAGGCAAAGAGACAAGGAAACUGUGAGAGAGGGGGGGAAAAGGAGUUUAUGUAACGGUGGAUGGGAAUGGCGAAGAUGUGGACGUGAAGCGCAAAGGGAGAAAUGAUUGGAUGUGAGGAGGAGGAAAUCAGAUACCUCUUGUUUUUCUUAUCGUUGAGGAGAGGCUGAAGAUGUUCGAUG
rnacentral:lncRNA from 1 species